GAGAGAUAGGAUUAGAGAAUCUUGAAUUUUACGUGCACUUAUUCUUAUAUUAGCUUGUUCAGUAUGGUUGUGCCUUUGCGAAUGCCUUAGUCUAUAAAUAUGCAAUCGAUUUUGCUUCAUGUAUAUCAAGUAAUACAAUCUCACCUUCAAUUCCGUGUUUUCUUAUUAUUAUAUAUCUCAAAGUUAAGGUUAUUAAGAAAAAGGAAAGGAUAUGGCGGACAUUAAUGUAACACCUGAAGUAGUGGAGGAUGUGGAAAUUUAUUUGGAAGCAAAGGCCAAGGAAUAUGAGGCUAGUCCCAAGGCCAACAACUCCGUAGAAUAUAAAUUGACGACCGAUAUCUAGAACUUUAGCAAAGGCCGCGUGCACAAAGUGGAGACUCAUUUUUGGAAUGGACGCACUUUGACUAACUUCCCUGCACUCCCAAUUAACACUGGUGUUGCCAUGCGCCAGGCCGGACCCCUUCCUAAUGGUGUCAAGUGGGGAAUCGUCUGUAAACACCUACUUUUGUCCCCAUUCCCGAAAGGGAAAGUUCGAUGAUGAAAACAUAAAUCUCCAAUUGACAACGCAUCUCCUAUAAAAUAAA